UUACGGUCAAAUUAGGCUGAAACACCGGUUCUCGUUCGAUCACCGAAGUUAAGCAUCGUAGAGCCAGGUCAGUACUUAGAUGGGGGACCGCUUGGGAACACCUUGUACUGUAAGC
rnacentral:rRNA from 1 species